AUUGAACGCUGGCGGCAUGCCUUACACAUGCAAGUCGAACGGUAACGGGCCUUCGGGUGCCGACGAGUGGCGAACGGGUGAGUAAUGUAUCGGAACGGUACCUUUCAGUGGGGGAUAACGUAGCGAAAGUUACGCUAAUACCGCAUAUUCUGUGAGCAGGAAGGCAGGGAUCGCAAGACCUUGCGCUGAUUGAGCGGCCGAUAUCAGAUUAGCUAGUUGGUGAGGUAAAGGCUCACCAAGGCGACGAUCUGUAGCGGGGUCUGAGAGGAUGAUCCGCCACACUGGAACUGAGACACGGUCCAGACUCCUACGGGAGGCAGCAGU
rnacentral:rRNA from 1 species